rnacentral:rRNA from 1 species
AUGGUUGCACAACCUCCGAAAAUUCUGGUGUGGAAUGUGCGUGGACUUAACUCCACGGCACAGCGUAGCGCGGUUUUUCAGGUCGUGGAGGCGGCUAGGGCUAGCGUUGUUUGCCUCCAAGAGACAAAGAUGGAGAUCAUGUCGAGUGAGCUUGUAAAGCAAUGCUUGGGUAAUAGAUUUGAGGACUUUUACUAUCUGCCAGCCGUAGGCACACGUGGGGGCAUUCUACUCGCGUGGGAUAAAAUGGUAGUGUUGGCCUCCAAUAGGCAUGUCACGGAGAAAACAAUUACGGCGCUUUUCAAGCAGGGCGAGGUCAUGUGGUGGUUGACGGGUGUGUAUGGGCCUCAGAGCGAUGCGGAAAAGGUGGAAUUCUUGCAUGAACUUAGAGAGGUGCGAGAUCUUCACGUUGGCCCGUGGGCAGUCGUGGGGGAUUUCAACCUUUUGGUUAACCCAGAAGACAAGAACAAUACAAUGAUCAACAGAAGAAUUGAUGCGGAGCAUCUGUGA